UAUCUCCUUUGUCUUGGGGAGAGGUGGUGGUCUUGACACCAUUUUACAACCCCCUCUAUCUGCAACAUUUACUCUGUCUCGUCAUUAUUCGAGACCCAUCUCUCUGGUGGUGUCAUCUGCAAUUGUGCACUCAAUGGGUUUGUAUCCAAAAAUGUGUUCAUUAUUUUCUGGGGGGGUGGCGGCAUUGUGGAUUUGCUGGUGAAUAAGGAGAUUUCACUUUUUUAACUACCAACUCUAUUUGUUAAAUAUUUCUUGACAAGUAAUGGGCUGGGGAUUAUACAGUUGCAACGUGUGGUCUUGUUUUCAACCACCCUCAUUCCUCGUGGGUCCCUGCAGGGGCUUCAUUGAACUGGUACAAGUACCGUGCCCCGCAUUUGGUAUUCUUACUAUGGCAGACAUAUUUCAGUAUGUUCCCACCUAUCUUUUGCCACCUUUCACAAUAAAUCAAAUCAAAUUGAUGGGAAUACGCGAGAGAAAAUAAGUUGCAGCAAUACAGAGAAAAUCAGGAGAUUCAAAAUGGGACUAAUAGGAUUGCUUCUCUGGGAACCAGCAUGGAACUGAUGGACAGAAUGGCCUUUAAAAAAAAAAAUCUUUAUAAGAGUGCAUAUUUUGCUUGCUUUCUUGUUUCUAGUUGUAGAUAUUUUGCUUGACUAUCAAAAAGUGCUAAUUUACUUGCAAAAAUAAAUAUUCAGACCAAAUGUGAAUGAAAAGCAAAUAUUUAAAAUUCUGAUUUACCAUAUUACAUAAAAUUGACCAUUAUAUUAAAAAAAGAAAGAAAUGCUUCCACAAAGGUUUAGAUGGUACUUGUUUACGAAAGAUGGAAUUAUCCGGUAGAUUGUAAUGUGCAUCAUCUGGUCUGUGGCCAGAGGUUUGGUGACACUAGAUUGUACAAGUCCACAGUUUACGACCUCAAGUGUAAAAGAUAUAUGUAUCGUCACAUGAAAUGGUUGUAAACAGCAUGUUUGAAUGACUUGAACUGAGCAGUGUGUUGUUCCAGCAAUGGGGAAAUGUUCUUAUGUUCCUCACAUUUGGCCUUUGGUUGCAGCAGAAUGAACUAAAUGAGUGCUGAAGUGUUCAUCAUUUGCCUUCCUUACCUGGUCUGGCCUCUGUGCAGUAUGGUUGACUCUUCUAAAGCGGGACAGUCGUGAUUUGUUUGAAACCAAUUCAACAGUUCAACACGAAGGCCCACCAUCUUACAUGGUCCCUUGGGAUUGUGGAUGAGCUGCUUCCACUCUGGCUCUGAGGAGGCUCAUGAGGGCACUAUAGGAACGCCAAGCUCUUCCGCGGGUGGGCCAAGGGUUGGUUGGUGGGGCAGGUGGGCAUUGCAUGUAUUGUCUGCUUCUUUUGUAGAGACUCAGUGUGCUCCCGAUGUGUGGCCCUGGGAUAGAGCUAGAAAGGAGCAUAAUCACAUUAGCUUGUCGCCAGUUAUUUUAGCACUGUGAAACUAUUCUAUAACAAUAUGGUAAAUGAUUUCCCUAAUUUGUUUGAUCUACUGGUUAUAUUUCGUUAGAGUAUAUUAAAUGCAACUUUUGCACUGUGAUUGCUUGCUAUUAAUUUUGUUCAUGAAGAUCGCUGAAAAAUUGUAAUUAUGCUGAAGUAUUGCAAUAAAAUUAUUGAAAAAUUA